GACGUGGGGUGCGAGCGUUGUCCGGAUUUAUUGGGCGUAAAGAGCUCGUAGGCGGCUCGUCGCGUCGACCGUGAAAACCCGCAGCUUAACUGCGGGCUUGCGGUUGAUACGGGCGGGCUAGAGUUCGGUAGGGGAGACUGGAAUUCCUGGUGUAGCGGUGAAAUGCGCAGAUAUCAGGAGGAACACCGGUGGCGAAGGCGGGUCUCUGGGCCGAUACUGACGCUGAGGAGCGAAAGCGUGGGGAGCGAACAGG
rnacentral:rRNA from 1 species